CUCUAUUCAAAAGAUGGCAGGCAAAUAGAGGUGUGUGUAUAUAUAUAUAUAUACACACGCCUGUAUUUGCCUGCCAUCUUUUAUAUAUAU
rnacentral:miRNA from 1 species